AUCUAAUCCUUCUCACACUAACCAUUGUCAUUUGAAGUUUGAUAAUCUAUUUUAUUGUUCAAAAAAUUGCAAAACGAAUAAAGAAAUAAGUAAAAAAAAUAUAAAUAUAUUUUAAAUAUUUAAUUUAUUCCCAACUAAAAAUAACAUAAACUUUCCCUAUUUUAUUAUUUUUUACUAUUUUCUAUUAUUUCAUUUACAACUAUAUAUUUAUCUUAGUAUUAAGCAAACUAAAGCAGAACACAUAAUCUAAAAACAUAAAACCUCCAUAAUUACAGUAAACAAAUGCUAAAGUAACACUAACUCAAUAAAAGUCCAAAGCUCAAAGGCGAUCAAGAACGAAAACUAAUUUACUCCACUUUAUCAUAGAGUGUCUUGGCCAAAACAAUCAAAAGUCAGAAAAAUGUAGAAAGAUAAUCUUGAGAUAAAACAAUCUCUCGAACACAAAGGAGCAUGAUCAAGGAC
rnacentral:lncRNA from 1 species